UACGGAGGAUCCGAGCGUUAUCCGGAUUUAUUGGGUUUAAAGGGAGCGUAGGUGGACAUGUAAGUCAGUUGUGAAAGUUUGCGGCUCAACCGUAAAAUUGCAGUUGAUACUGUGUGUCUUGAGUACAGUAGAGGUGGGCGGAAUUCGUGGUGUAGCGGUGAAAUGCUUAGAUAUCACGAAGAACUCCGAUUGCGAAGGCAGCUCACUGGACUGUUAACUGACACUGAGGCUCGAAAGUGUGGGUAUCAAACAGG
rnacentral:rRNA from 1 species